UACGAAGGGUGCAAACGUUGCUCGGAAUUAUUGGGCGUAAAGCGCACGUAGGCGGCUUUUCAAGUCCCAUGUGAAAUCCCACGGCUUAACCGUGGAAGUGCAUGGGAAACUGGGAAGCUUGAGUACUUAAGAGGAUCGCGGAAUUCCCGGUGUAGAGGUGAAAUUCGUAGAUAUGCGGAGGAACACCGAUGGCGAAGGCAAUCCCCUGGGCCUGUACUGACGCUCAUGCACGAAAGCGUGGGGAGCAAACAGG
rnacentral:rRNA from 1 species